rnacentral:tRNA from 1 species
GGUGCGUUGGCCGAGAAGUUAGGCACAGGUCUGCAAAACCUGCUAGACGGGAGCGUUACCCGUACGCACCUCCA